UAGUGGCCAAACAUGGUUGCAACGGGUAACGGAGGGUUAGGGCUCGACCCCGGAGAAGGAGCCUGAGAAAUGGCUACUACAUCCAAGGAAGGCAGCAGGCGCGCAAAUUACCCAAUUCCGAUACGGAGAGGUAGUGACAAUAAAUACUGAUACAGGGCUCUUUUGGGUCUUGUAAUCGGAAUGAGUACAAUUUAAAUCUCUCAACAAGGAACAAUUGGAGGGCAAGUCUGGUGCCAGCAGCCGCGGUAAUUCCAGCUCCAAUAGCGUAUAUUAAAGUUGUUGUGGUUAAAAAGCUCGUAGUUGAACCUUGGGCCUGGCUGGCCGGUCCGCCUCACCGCGUGUACUGGUCCGGCCGGGCCUUUCCCUCUGUGGAACCCCAUGCCCUUCACUGGGUGUGGCGGGGAAACAGGACUUUUACUUUGAAAAAAUUAGAGUGCUCCAGGCAGGCCUAUGCUCGAAUACAUUAGCAUGGAAUAAUAGAAUAGGACGUGCGGUUCUAUUUUGUUGGUUUCUAGGACCGCCGUAAUGAUUAAUAGGGACAGUCGGGGGCAUCAGUAUUCAAUUGUCAGAGGUGAAAUUCUUAGAUUUAUUGAAGACUAACUACUGCGAAAGCAUUUGCCAAGGAUGUUUUCAUUAAUCAGGAACGAAAGUUAGGGGAUCGAAAACGAUCAGAUACCGUUGUAGUCUUAACCAUAAACUAUGCCGACUAGGGAUCGGACGGUGUUAUUUUUUGACCCGUUCGGCACCUUACGAGAAAUCAAAGUGCUUGGGCUCCAGGGGGAGUAUGGUCGCAAGGCUGAAACUUAAAGAAAUUGACGGAAGGGCACCACCAGGGGUGGAGCCUGCGGCUUAAUUUGACUAAUCCCGCGGCC
rnacentral:rRNA from 1 species